UACAGAGGUCCCAAGCGUUGUUCGGAUUCACUGGGCGUAAAGGGUGCGUAGGCGGUCGGGUAAGUCUGAUGUGAAAUCUCACAGCUUAACUGUGAAACUGCAUUGGAUACUAUCCGGCUCGAGGAAUGGAGGGGAGACUGGAAUACUUGGUGUAGCAGUGAAAUGCGUAGAUAUCAAGUGGAACACCAGUGGCGAAGGCGAGUCUCUGGACAUUUCCUGACGCUGAGGCACGAAAGCGUGGGUAGCGAACAGG
rnacentral:rRNA from 1 species